GGUUUUAUAGUCAAAUUAUGAUAUUAGGUUGCAAUUCUAAAGUUGUUUAAAUACUAAAGCCU
rnacentral:tRNA from 1 species